GUUCGUAAGUUUUUUACUGAUUCACUUUGAUUGUGUUUAUUGUGUGAGUGCUAAUUUAGUGUGUUAUGUUUAUUAAAUCAUCUUUAGGUCGGACAUUGAGUAUUACAACAAGAUUGAAGCCAAGCCUCGAGCUGCCCGCAAGCGGGAGGACUUGGAGGACGACGAGCGCCCCAUUCAGCGACCUCGGAAGGCGAGCAAGGCGGUGUUUUACGAUUCUGAGGACGAGCAUGCUAGCAAACGUACAAAGACACUAAAGAAGCCCCCACCGUCUAAGCGCAAGUCUGCUGCAGGCCUUGAAAAAGAUCUCUUCGAUUCGGAAGACGAACAAGUUCAUAAGCGAGUCGGCAAAGAGACGAAGAGACCUGCAGCGUUGAAGCGCAAACGAGCUCGGGCUGACGGUUGGGAGCUGGAGCUGGACGACGAGGA